rnacentral:lncRNA from 1 species
CCUGGUUUUCUCAUAUCGGGUCACAUUUGAAUAAGGACAACUCAACGGCCGCAGUAUCUCUGACCGUGAUAAUGUAGCAUAGUAACUAGCCAAUUAAUUGUUGGCACGUAUGAAAGGCUUCACGAGUGUCCCGCUGUCUCGAGAUAUAACCCAGUGAAAUUGAAUUUGUAGUGAAGAUGCUACAUACAAUAAGGACCAUAGGAGAUUUACUGGCAACCACAAUCACAAUUGUAUCAGAGAGUUUUUGUCUGUAAAUCCAUAACUAAUUGAUGGUUUGUAUGACCUUUCUCGCAAGUCUGUUUCCAACAUCUUUUUCAAUUAUGAAUUGGAAGAUGAGCAAAGAGAGCAGGAAGGGCAAGCCACUACUUUAGUGAUCAAGAGCAGGCUAUGCUGAGAAUAGAUGAAUACCGAGUAGCAUCAAUAUAUGAACAUUAGGAAUGUUCAGAUGAAUGUAAACAGAGAGUUGGCAAUAGAGAAAAAACUGCUUGAAGGUGUUGCUACUUAAAACUCUCCUAUCAUUGUUUAAGAUAAAGACAAAGCCAUCAAGCCAACUAAGGAUGAAGCCAGUGACCAUUCUAGCUAUGGUGUGCAUUCCUUGUUAGCGCUCUUAGAACAAAGGAUAGGUGCCACCAACCUAGAAAAACAAAGAUAAAACAUUUAAAACUGAUUCUUAAAUUCACUCUCAAAAGAUUAUAUUUAUCAUGAUAAGAAUUGUCAAGAUAUUUGUGGGUAAAGAA